rnacentral:rRNA from 1 species
UACGUAGGCAGCAAGCGUUGUUCGGAGUUACUGGGCGUAAAGAGUGCGUAGGCGGUCCUGUAAGUUUGGUGUGAAAUCUCCCGGCUCAACUGGGAGGGUGCGCCGAAGACUGCAGGGCUUGAGUAUGGGGGAGGUAAGCGGAAUUCCUGGUGUAGCGGUGAAAUGCGUAGAUAUCAGGAGGAACACCUGUGGUGUAGACAGCUUACUGGACCAUAACUGACGCUGAGGCACGAAAGCGUGGGUAGCAAACAGG